rnacentral:rRNA from 1 species
CUCCGGUUGAUCUUUGCCGGACCCGACUGCUAUAGGAUUGAGAUUGAGCCAUGCGAGUCGAACGUCCCCCUGUUGCGGGGGGCGUGGCGUACGGCUCAGUAACACGUAAUCAACCUGCCCUGGAGACAAGGACAACCCCGGGAAACUGGGAUUAAUCCUUGAUAGGUCAUCUCAUCUGGAAGGAGAGAUGGCUUAAAGGGGUACGCGGGCUUCUUCCGCGAAUCUGCUCCAGGAUGGGACUGCGUCCGAUCAGGCUGUUGGCGGGGUAAUGGCCCACCAAACCUGUAACCGGUACGGGCCUUGAGAGAGGUGGCCCGGAGAUGGACGCUGAGAGAAGGGUCCAGGUCCUACGGGGCGCAGCAGGCGCGAAACCUUCGCAAUGCGCGAAAGCGUGACGAGGUUAAUCCGAGUGACUCCCGCUGAGGGGGUCUUUUGUCAGCUGUAAAUAGGCAGGCGAAUAAGGGGAGGGCAAGCCUGGUGUCAGCCGCCGCGGUAAUACCAGCUCCUCGAGUGGUCGGGGCGAUUAUUGGGCCUAAAGCAUCCGUAGCCGGUUCCGUAGGUCCUCUGUUAAAUCCAACCGCUUAACGGUUGACCUGCAGAGGAUACCGCGGGUCUAGGAGGCGGGAGAGGCGGACGGUACUCCGCGUGUAGGGGUAAAAUCCUUUGAUCCGCGGAAGACCACCAGUGGCGAAGGCGGUCCGCCAGAACGCGCUCGACGGUGAGGGAUGAAAGCUGGGGGAGCGAACCGGAUUAGAUACCCGGGUAGUCCCAGCCGUAAACGAUGCUAGCUAGAUGAUUCAUUCGCAAGUCGCGAAUGAAGUGUCGCAGGGAAGCCGUUAAGCUAGCAACAUGGGGCUUACGGUCGCAGGUCUGAAUCUUACCCAUAUAGCGGGGGAGCA